rnacentral:rRNA from 1 species
AUUGAACGCUGGCGGCAGGCCUAACACAUGCAAGUCGAACGGUAACAGGAAGAAGCUUGCUUCUUUGCUGACGAGUGGCGGACGGGUGAGUAAUGUCUGGGAAACUGCCUGAUGGAGGGGGAUAACUACUGGAAACGGUAGCUAAUACCGCAUGACGUCGCAAGACCAAAGAGGGGGACCUUCGGGCCUCUUGGCAUCGGAUGUGCCCAGAUGGGAUUAGCUAGUAGGUGGGGUAACGGCUCACCUAGGCGACGAUCCCUAGCUGGUCUGAGAGGAUGACCAGCCACACUGGAACUGAGACACGGUCCAGGCUCCUACGGGAGGCAGCAGUGGGGAAUAUUGCACAAUGGGCGCAAGCCUGAUGCAGCCAUGCCGCGUGUAUGAAGAAGGCCUUCGGGUUGUAAAGUACUUUCAGCGGGGAGGAAGGGAGUAAAGUUAAUACCUUUACUCAUUGACGUUACCCGCAGAAGAAGCACCGGCUAACUCCGUG